GCUUUGAAGGUAAAGGAGGUGGCACUCAUGCACAGUGAAGGAAUACUUGCUGGAGAGAUGAAACAUGGUCCCUUGGCUUUGGUUGAUGAAAAUCUCCCUAUUGUAGUAAUUGCCACCCGUGAUUCUUGUUUUAGCAAACAACAGUCAGUCAUUCAACAACUUCAUGCACGGAAAGGUCGACUGAUAGUUAUGUGCACAGAAGGAGAUAAAGCAUCUGUUUCUGUUGGUGGAUCGUCUCG
rnacentral:misc_RNA from 1 species